GCGGCGUGCUUACCAUGCAAGUCGAACGAUUAAAGCCCCUUCGGGGGUGUAUAGAGUGGCGAACGGGUGAGUAACACGUGAGCAACCUACCUCUCACACUGGGACAACGCGGGGAAACCUGUGCUAAUACCGGAUACAUCGUUUUUGUCGCAUGACAGAAUCGAGAAAGCCUUUACGGUGAGAGAUGGGCUCGCGGCCCAUUAGCUAGUUGGUGAGGUAAUGGCUCACCAAGGCGACGAUGGGUAGCCGGGUUGAGAGACCGACCGGCCACAUUGGGACUGAGACACGGCCCAAACUCCUACGGGAGGCAGCAGUGGGGAAUUUUGCGCAAUGGGCGAAAGCCUGACGCAGCAACGCCGCGUGCGGGAUGAAGGCCUUCGGGUCGUAAACCGCUUUCAGUAGGGAAGAUAAUGACGGUACCUACAGAAGAAGCACCGGCUAAAUACGUGCCAGCAGCCGCGGUAAUACGUAUGGUGCAAGCGUUAUCCGGAUUCAUUGGGCGUAAAGCGCGCGUAGGCGGCUUGUUAAGCAAGGUGUUAAAUCCUAGGGCUCAACCCUAGUCCGCACCUUGAACUGGCAGGCUUGAGUUCGGUAGAGGAAAGUGGAAUUCCCAGUGUAGCGGUGGAAUGCGCAGAUAUUGGGAAGAACACCAGUGGCGAAGGCGGCUUUCUGGGCCGUAACUGACGCUGAGGCGCGAAAGCUAGGGGAGCGAACAGGAUUAGAUACCCUGGUAGUCCUAGCCGUAAACGAUGGGCACUAGUUGUGGGGAGAUCAUUCUUUCCGUGACGCCGCUACGCAUUAAGUGCCCCGCCUGGGGAGUACGGCCGCAGCUAAACUCAAGAAAGGAUUUGACGGGGGCCCG
rnacentral:rRNA from 1 species